rnacentral:rRNA from 1 species
CCUAUGGGUGGCAGCAGUGAGGAAUAUUGGUCAAUGGGCGCGAGCCUGAACCAGCCACGUCGCGUGAGGGAUGAAGGUUCUAUGGAUCGUAAACCUCUUUUAUAAGGGAAUAAAGUGUGGGACGUUUCCUAUUUUGUAUGUACCUUAUGAAUAAGGAUCGGCUAACUCCGUGCAAGCAGCCGCGGUAAUACGGAGGAUCCGAGCGUUAUCCGGAUUUAUUGGGUUUAAAGGGUGCGUAGGCGGCCUUUUAAGUCAGCGGUGAAAGUCUGGGGCACAACCAUAGGAUUACCGGUGAAACUGGGGGGCUUGAGUAUGUUUGAGGCAGGCGGAAUGCGUGGUGUAGCAGUGAAAUUCGUAGAUAUCA